GUAUGCUUAGGGAGGAGCUUGCGUCACAUUAGUUAGUUGGUGGGGUAAAGGCCUACCAAGACUAUGAUGUGUAGCCGGGCUGAGAGGUUGAACGGCCACAUUGGGACUGAGACACGGCCCAAACUCCUACGGGAGGCAGCAGUAGGGAAUUUUCGGCAAUGGAGGAAACUCUGACCGAGCAACGCCGCGUGAACGAUGAAGUAUUUCGGUACGUAAAGUUCUUUUAUUAGGGAAGAAUAAAUGAUGGAAAAAUCAUUCUGACGGUACCUAAUGAAUAAGCCCCGGCUAACUAUGUGCCAGCAGCCGCGGUAAUACAUAGGGGGCAAGCGUUAUCCGGAAUUAUUGGGCGUAAAGGGUGCGUAGGCGGUUAAAUAAGUUUAUGGUCUAAGUGCAAUGCUCAACAUUGUGAUGCUAUAAAAACUGUUUAGCUAGAGUAAGAUAGAGGCAAGUGGAAUUCCAUGUGUAGUGGUAAAAUGCGUAAAUAUAUGGAGGAACACCAGUAGCGAAGGCGGCUUGCUGGGUCUUUACUGACGCUGAGGCACGAAAGCGUGGGGAGCAAACAGGAUUAGAUACCCUGGUAGUCCACGCCGUAAACGAUGAGUACUAAACGUUGGGUAAAACCAGUGUUGAAGUUAACACAUUAAGUACUCCGCCUGAGUAGUACGUACGCAAGUAUGAAACUUAAAGGAAUUGACGGGACUCCGCACAAGCGGUGGAUCAUGUUGUUUAAUUCGAAGGUACCCGAAAAACCUCACCAGGUCUUGACAUGCUUCUGCAAAACUGUAGAAACACAGUGGAGGUUAUCAGUUGCACAGGUGGUGCAUGGUUGUCGUCAGCUCGUGUCGUGAGAUGUUGGGUUAAGUCCCGCAACGAGCGCAACCCUUAUUGNUAGUUACCAGCACGUAAUGGNGGGGACUUUA
rnacentral:rRNA from 1 species